AGUGAACGUUGGCGGCGUGCCUAACACAUGCAAGUCGAACGAGAACCGAGUAGCUUGCUACUCGGGGAAAGUGGCGAACGGGUGAGUAACACGUGAGCAAUCUGCCCUCGAGUGAGGAAUAACCCCGCGAAAGCGGGGCUAAUACCGCAUGAUGCUCUGGAGCAUAAGCUUUCAGAGUUAAAGCCCUCGGGCGCUUGAGGAUGAGCUUGCGUCCUAUUAGCUUGUUGGUAGGGUAACGGCCUACCAAGGGUUAUGAUGGGUAGCCGGCCUGAGAGGGUGUCCGGCCACACUGGAACUGGGACACGGUCCAGACUCCUACGGGAGGCAGCAGUGGGGAAUUUUGCGCAAUGGGCGAAAGCCUGACGCAGCGACGCCGCGUGGAGGAUGAAGGCUUUCGGGUUGUAAACUCCUGUCAGAGGUGAAGAAAACCCCCCUUAGGGGAGGCUUGACGGUAACCUCAGAGGAAGCCCCGGCUAACUACGUG
rnacentral:rRNA from 1 species